GGAUCUGCCCGAUGGUACGGAAUAGCUCCGGGAAACUGGAAUUAAUACCGUAUGUGCCCGCAAGGGGAAAGAUUUAUCGCCAUCGGAUGAACCCGCGUCGGAUUAGCUAGUUGGUGUGGUAAAGGCGCACCAAGGCGACGAUCCGUAGCUGGUCUGAGGGGAUGAUCAGCCACACUGGGACUGAGACACGGCCCAGACUCCUACGGGAGGCAGCAGUGGGGAAUAUUGGACAAUGGGCGCAAGCCUGAUCCAGCCAUGCCGCGUGAGUGAUGAAGGCCUUAGGGUUGUAAAGCUCUUUCGCCGACGAAGAUAAUGACGGUAGUCGGAGAAGAAGCCCCGGCUAACUUCGUGCCAGCAGCCGCGGUAAUACGAAGGGGGCUAGCGUUGCUCGGAAUCACUGGGCGUAAAGCGCACGUAGGCGGAUUGUUAAGUCAGGGGUGAAAGCCUGGAGCUCAACUCCAGAACUGCCUUUGAUACUGGCAAUCUCGAGUCCGGAAGAGGUAAGUGGAACUCCGAGUGUAGAGGUGAAAUUCGUAGAUAUUCGGAAGAACACCAGUGGCGAAGGCGGCUUACUGGUCCGGUACUGACGCUGAGGUGCG
rnacentral:rRNA from 1 species